rnacentral:sRNA from 1 species
UUAAAAUGGUUUAGUUAGGUAUACUAUUAACUCAUGGUUUGAUUGGUAAUUUUUAACCGCCUCGUCUGUAACCGAAACGCUUUGAAAGUUAUCAAUAAAUAAAGCGAUUAAAAGAAGCGGUUGGAAUAAGUAGAUUGUUGUAGAGAGAUGUUGGGAGAGAAAAAAAAAUAAGACGGUUGGAUUUGUUUUUUAUUUA